rnacentral:lncRNA from 1 species
GCAUUUUUAGCUUUAAAAUCUCACACUUUUUUUAACAUAAAUGUAUGAUACUUGUAUUACUUAAAACAUGUUACAAUAGGAGGACAUAGUCUUUUGCGCAUUACUAUUGCCCAUACUUGCUAAGUGCAAACAUCAGUAUAGAUAAUUUUAAUACUAUUUUAAAGUUCAUGCUUGUAACAAUCACACUUUACACAAUGGUACCUAAUUACUUCUUCAAGUUGGCAUGAACAGAGUCACAUUGCAUGUCUAACAAAGCCAUAAACACCUACAAAAUCCUCCCUCAAUCCCCAUCAAUUUGGAUAAUUCCUAUUGUACAUCCAUGUGCGAUGUUUCAUCUAUACAAAUAAAACAAAAAUAAAUUGAGAUAUUUCCAUAAGAAUUAGAACUACUUAAUUUAUUCUACAAUUAUUAAUUAAUUAAAUCAUUUUUAGUUAAUUAAUAUAACUAUUUUUAACCAAUUACAUUAAAACUAAAUUAAAAUAAUUAUAAUAAACUAUAAUUCAUUCAAUUUAAAUAUAAACUAUAAGUUCAAUUCAACCCCAAAAAAUUCAACACUACUCCCUAAAAGUUCAAUUCAUAUUCAAAAAGUUAAAUUGAUAUCCUAAAAGUUCAAUUCAUAUCCAAAAAGUUCAAUCAUUACCCCUAAAAGUUCAAUUCAUAUCCUAAAAGUUCAACUCAUACCCUAAACAAUUCAAUUUAUAUCCUAAAAAAAUUAAUUAACCUCACACAACAUAAGCUCUAUCCAAAAAAUUCAACACAUACUUCUAAAAAUUCAAUUCAUAUCCUAAAAGUUCAAUUCACAAGAACAAAUCCUAAAAACUCAAUUCAAUUCGAAAUUAAAAAUUCAAUUCCUAACUAAACUAUUCAAUUCAAUACAAACUUAACAUUCAAUUUACACAAUAUGUAAUUAAUUCAAUUCAGUUCAGUUAAAACAAGACCUAAACCCUAGAUUUUAAUAAGUUAACCAAUCAAUUUAAACACUGAUUAACUAAUUUGUAACUAAUUAAAAAACAUUAAAUUUAUUAAAAAAGAUGUAAGUUCUAAUUCAAACCUAGAAUUUCUAGGAGGUUAAGGAGGAGGGCGGCAGUGGAGACAGUAGCAGGAGUGGCGACGGUGGCAGUGGCGAUGCAGCAGCGGUGCCGAUGUGGGGUGGGGAAUGCGCUUUGUGUGAGCGAAAUAGAGAAGGAGCGGGGAAGGGUGUUUUGUGUGUGAGGGAGAAGAGAGUGGGAGUUAGAAAAUUUUGAGUAUUUGAGAAUAAGAGAAAUGAGGGGGAAAGGCCGUAUUUCAGAUCUGGAAUUAAAGGUACCAAUGACUUUGUUCGGUAAAGUCGGUCGGCAC